rnacentral:rRNA from 1 species
AUGAACGCUGGCGGCGUGCCUAAUACAUGCAAGUCGAGCGAACAGACGAGGAGCUUGCUCCUCUGACGUUAGCGGCGGACGGGUGAGUAACACGUGGAUAACCUACCUAUAAGACUGGGAUAACUUCGGGAAACCGGAGCUAAUACCGGAUAAUAUAUUGAACCGCAUGGUUCAAUAGUGAAAGACGGUUUUGCUGUCACUUAUAGAUGGAUCCGCGCCGCAUUAGCAAGUUGGUAAGGUAACGGCUUACCAAGGCAACGAUGCGUAGCCGACCUGAGGGGGGGGCCGGCCGCAGUGGAAAGAGAAAACGGUCCAGGCCCCGAGGGGAGGGGGGGGGAGGGAACCUUCCGAAAUGGGCGAAAGCCUGACGGGGCAACCCCGGGGGGGUGAUGAAGGGCUUCGGAUGGAAAAACGUUUUUAUUAGGGAAAAAAAAAAGGGUAAGAAACGAUGGACGUCUUGGGGGAGCCCAAACAGAAAGCCGCGGCAAACUGCGG